rnacentral:rRNA from 1 species
UUUCUAUGGAGAGUUUGAUCCUGGCUCAGGACGAACGCUGGCGGCGUGCCUAAUACAUGCAAGUCGAGCGGAUCAAAUAGAAGCUUGCUUCUAUUUGGUUAGCGGUGGACGGGUGAGUAACACGUGGGCAACCUGCCCUGUAGACGGGGAUAACACCGAGAAAUCGGUGCUAAUACCGGAUAACACGAAAUGUCGCAUGACGUUUCGUUGAAAGACGGCGCAAGCUGUCGCUACAGGAUGGGCCCGCGGCGCAUUAGCUAGUUGGUGAGGUAACGGCUCACCAAGGCGACGAUGCGUAGCCGACCUGAGAGGGUGAUCGGCCACAC